AAACAGGCAGCCUCGUUUCAGGGACUUGCUUUUGUUAAACAUUAGGGCCCUUCCCCCCCAAAAAAACCCUCCCAGGCACCCGAUAGAACGCAGCCCUCCCUGAACUCCGAGGAACUUUGGUCUUUUACGUGGAGAUGUUUACGGUCGAUUUACAUUUUGCUGUCGAAGCACCGAGCGCUUCUGGGUUCGUUACCCCAGACCUCGCUAAUGAAAAGCCGCUUGACAUCCCACCUUCCCUGCGGUGGCAGGAGGCUCCCCUGAUGAAAACAAUACAGAACCGCUUGCUCCUGUGCUCACUCUAAACCUAAACAAUAAAUACUAAACGCCUAAAUAUUUUGCUUGCCCUGCAGGUCGCAGCUCUUGGAUAAUGCAACGCUAACACCUACGAAUUAAGGCAGAGUUAAAACAAAAGGCAAGCGGCGCAUAAGGAGGAAAGAAUUAACUUUUCGCAGGUUUACGUACAGCCUGGUGCGGCAGAGUUUUUUGGGAUGUGCGCUUCCAAGCUUCCCAUCCCGUGGAGUGAAUCCAAGGCUCGGUGUGUCAGGAAGGAGAUGGUGGAUCGGCCCCCAAGUCAGAGGCUGCAUCAAAGACCUUCUCAGCCUGCAGCUUGACCAGAUAAAACAAAAACCCCAUCGUCUGGAGGAUUUGUGGGGCUGCCCCAACGUGCUCGUGGUCAAACACAAAGGGAUAAAUGUCCUAGGACGGGCCCAAACCACAGCGACUGACUGUGUGUACACACUGGAGACAAAAGCCUGUGGAGGCGGCUCCAGCAGAUUAGGACUGGGUUUGAUCUAGUGAGGUUCCACAGCUCCAACAAACAGAAACUGUUUAUGAAAUGUCUCGGUCUGGAAAAGCAAAUCCGCCUUCUCCACCGAGCCGUCAGCAGCGUUCCUCUGCCAAGCGCUAUUUCGAGGCACAGUCCCUGCCUGCUCUGCCAGCGAUGACGGCCAACGCUUCCUUCGAGUUUGUUUGGAUGCCAAGCGCUCCGAGAUUCCCGUAAACACGCACGACUUUUCCUCAGGGUGAUUCCUGACGGGGGCCAGCGCUCCUGUAGGUACCACCAGCUGCACCUGAGCAUCCCUCCCAUCACACGGUGAAUGAACCGGCGCACCGGCUGAUUUUUGGGGGGGGGACAAAAGCCAUUGUGGCUUCUGAAGUGGGAGCUGUGGGUCUGCUCCAGUUUGAAAAAUUAAUUGUUAACAAUUGUGAGUGGAAGAACCGACUUCCGACUGGUUCCACGCAGUGACAACAUCCAGGUGACAUUUACAGGAUGAGGCUCUCGGCUCCAGUCUCUGUUCUCCAAAAGCCCUGGGCGGUCACUCCUUUUAUUUCUCCCCACAUUCUGAAGUGUAUUUUGCCACCACGGAUAUGGAACGUGGCUGUUCGUCCUCCUCCAACAUAGUGGAACAUAAGUUCCGGUUUACCUAAAGGACAGAAAAUGUUCAUUUUGCAAGCACAGAGCAUGACAGCUCUAAAAAUACCAAUUCAGACACCUACUUGAACACAUACAUUCCUUUCCCUUUACUGAUUUAAACCUAAUAGAACACACUGAAAAAUUAUCCUUCAAUACAUCACGUAACCUGAGGGGGGAAAUCUCUUAUCAGAGCAUGGCUCACUUCCCAAGCUGGGAGAGAAGGAUCCCUGCCUCAUCUUUGUUCCUCGGUAAUUAACUCAUUUGUUGCAAACAGCUGAGUAGGAUCGAGAAAAAAACCCACCAAACCCCAAGGAUCCUUAUUGUAAGUGAUGGACUCCAGCUUUGGGAUUAAAAACAGGGAAAACGAGUCUGCUCCCUGUGCUGUCUGGACCUGGCAGAACAAUGGAGUGUUGUGGGAAAAGGAGGAGUCGUGGUGAGCUCAUACUACCAGAUGCACAAGCCUGUUUUCUGCAGGAGGACGUUGCAGGCAGCAUUUGAUGGGCAGCUGGAGCUGCAGCCCCAGUCCUGCUCCCCCUGACACUGCUGCGCAGCGAAGGGAACCUCUGAGAAGCCAAGAGAAUGACAUCAAAUGGCGAUAAUUUGCCUUCAGUGCAAGUUAAAUUGUCUGAAAGGCAGCUGUGUGUUUCAAUAGCCUUGUGCUUGUCCAAGCAUGACCACGGAACCAGCAGUUUGCUCAGAGGUCUCCUUUAAUAACCAUUUGUUACUGGAAGGCAAUACAAACACAGACUGUCACAGAUGGAAGGUUUUUUCCAACUGUAAAUGUAAGUAAUUGAGUCUAGAGAAGUGGUUAUCCCUACUCAAAUACUAGAAGCUGGAGUACUGGAAUUCUUGUGGAGUCUGCUUAUACUAUUCCUGUGCCAGUCAGGAAUAUUCCAUUUCCCCCCCUUGCUUUCCAGAUGACUACCUUUAGUCAUUUCAUGUCCAUUGGUGCAUAAUGUCCUUAUUUCCCAAUAAUUUAUACUUUGUUGCAGGAGAGGAAAAUUGCUCUGUGCUGGUGUGAACAGAGAUGUACAAAUUUCCACGCCCAGUCCCACAGAUGUUUUCCAAGGAACAGCUGCAAGAACAUUUCCAGCAUAGUUGUGUCCUAAGCUACCAUACCCAGGCACGUUUCACUAACAUCCCCUUGACACUUGCCAGAAGAGAGAAUUCAGAUACACUUUCUCAGAUGUACCCUCAGUGAACGUGAUCCUGAUCCACGUGGAAAAGUGGAAAUCACUGUUACGGGGAGGCAAAGGAUCCCUGGGAAAAGGCACGGCCACAAGUGGCACAGCAACACCACACACUGGGCAAGGUUAUGAGCUCCUGCAGUGCUGAUAGCAACUCCCCAGGACAUAAACUACCCACUUAUUAAUGAUGAUGUCUACAGUGGAGUACAACCACAGUCAGCUGAUUAAAAGCAACGGAGAAAAGGAAGGAAUUUUGAUGUUCUGGAAGGGAAAAAUGGAAGAAAACCUGGAUAUUAAUUGACACCCCCCGUGUCAUUCACGCUGCCAAUACUAAAAGGUAAAAUUGGGGAUGCUGUUGAGGAGGAGGCACAUUCCUAUCUGCUGUUGGUGCUCCUGCGUGCUGUGACAGCCAUUCCUGGCUACUCAUCUAUUUUCUAGGAAGAAUGCUGGAUUUACAGGUGUGAUCCCUAGGGAAGAGGGACACAGUCUGAAGGUAUUACUGUUACCGAGCGAAAUGGAAUAGAUUCGGAAUGGAACACGUUCCAAAUAGGAAAGCAAACCGCAGGAAAUAGCUGUUCUGGUUGAGAAAAUUACAUUAUGGGGCUGUUUAUUUAGUAAAACUAAAUCAGGUAAAAAGGUUAAUUUAGUGCCUGCAGUUCUCCUCUCUGAAUUAAUCACUGAAUGAGGUGAAAGAGGUGCUUCAUUUGCUAAAAGUGAGCACGUAUUUCACAGCUCCGGUGGAAAGCAGAACUGCGUCUCGGUGUUUCGAGAAGCUCCGUGCUGGGAACAGAUAGGAAAGGGAAUCUUGUGCAGCUCGGAUACAAGGGUUUGUUUUCCUAGUAAAUAAUUUAGAUUCCUGCUGGUAGGAAGAGCAGGGUGGGAACAGCUACGAAGUCCUCAGAGGCCGUGGGGAUGUUCCACUGGAGGUGACACUCCUGUAAUUCUGCUGCUGAUGGUUUCUGGGGUCAACAUCCUUUAACAGCUGCGGUGCAAAUCUACAUUUGAGCUCAGAGAAACGAAGGAGCCUGCAUCUAGUUUCUUUUUGUCCUUUGCCACAUAUUCUCCAGGAAGACAGGAUUAUUUUUUUUUUCAAAGGGCAGCUAAUUAUUGCCUGUAGGAACAAGCACAGCCAAUGUACUUAUAAGGCAGAGCAGCCUAAUGAUUCCUAUAUUCUGAUUUCCACACGACUUACUGGGAAAAUCAGCAUUCCAUUGGUUCAUUCAUUGCACAAAAAAGGGUAAGAUUUUUUCAAAACUAACUAAUGAUUUUGGAUAGUUCAGUUCUCACAGAGAUCAGGCAGUUCAGUGCUCAAACCCAUUUCAUUCCUCUGGGAAAGCUCCUAUGUGCCAAUGAUUUUUCUUUGACGAGCACUUCCUCCCUGGAAGCUGAGCAAAGCCUUGCCAGGUCAUUUCACCAUAAACUAUGUUUUUAGGAUUCUCCUUGUUACCUUCUGCUGCUUUUCCCAACAUUCCACACUUGCAAACUGUGCCUCUCACAAAGAAAAUGGAGUUUAACUUCUCUUUGCAGCUUUUGGAAAACCAAGAAAUCCUGAGAGUCUGUUUCCAUUAUUUUUUUUAAAGGUUCUGUUCUUUAAACCAACAUCAAUAUUGCCUCCUCUGGGCUGCUCCAAGCCUGCUUGGAUCACAGGCUAGCAAUAAAUAUAGAUAAGUUAUGUAAUGACUGGAGCCAAAGCACAAACACAAGGAAAACCACAGGGAUAACUCUGUCACAGAGCGAACCUGAGCAGCUAAACCCAAACAGCAGUUGUUUUUACAAGUUUGCAUGUUUCCAGCCCCUCGGGGGGAUAUUCAAAUUCUUGACAAACCAUUUGAAUAUAGCCUCCCAGCCUGCCCAACACGAGGGUGAAUCUAUCCUUGCUCUGCAGCUGCUGUCUGCACACAGGUUUGAACUCCUCGAGCUCUGCGAGCCCUUGCUGAACUUUGAGUGCACCGAAGUUGGGUGGGUAUGAAAAUGAGCCUUAACCUUUGCAUCCCUGCGUUUAACUGGCUGGUCAAAAGUCAGGCAGGGAGCAGCACUUGGGUCUCCACAGCACCACACAGAGCCAAACCACAAGACCAUCCAUUUUUUUUCUCUGAAGGGUGUUUAAAAAUAGACAGAAAUGUCUGCUGCAAGGACACACAGAAUCGUAGAAUGGUUUGGGUUGGAAGGGACCUUAAAGCUCACCCAGUUCCACUUCCCUGCCAUGGGCAGGGACACCUUCCACUACCCCAGGUUGCUCCAAGCCCCGUCCAAGCUGUCCUUGGACACCUCCAGGGAUGGGGCAGCCACAGCUUCUCUGGGCAACCUGUGCCAGGGCCUCACCGCCCUCACAGGGAAGGAUUUCUUCCCAAUAUCCAAUCUAAACCUAAUAUCUUUCACUUUGAAGCCAUUCCCCCUUGGUCCUGUCACUCCAGGCCCUUGUAAAUAGUCUCUCUCCAUCUUUCUUACAGGCUCCCCUCCAGCACUGGAAGGCCAUAAUUAGGUCACCCUAAAGCCUUCUCUUUUCCAGGCUGAACAAUCCCAAUGCACAUGGACACCUCCUGUCCAGCCUCUCAUCCACCAGCACCCCCAGGUCCUUCCUAUCGGGGCGAGAUCCCUUUUCCACAUUUCAGUGUUUGGCUGUGAACCCCUGCAACCAAAGUGUUCUUCCUUGGCUGACAUGGCCCUUGGGAGUCUUUCCACCACUCCAAGACAUCCAGUUUUUUUCCAGGCCAUCAAGUCCAACACAAAACACCUGCCUGCCGUUGGACAGUGGCCGUGCUCCAGGUGUGCCUCAUUGCAAUCACCAAGGUCAUUUCUCUUCUCUAGGUUUAAUAUUGCCUCUUUCCCUGGACAAACACAUGGAAUUCUUGCUGGCUGCCUCUCUCUCUUUCCCAGCAGUGUCUCUCUAAAUCCCUUGGUUGUGGUGACUGCCACAAACUACCAGUGGGAUCUUGGAAAACUGCCACAGCUUUACAGACUUCUGAAACGCCGACUCUUAAGCAACGAGUCCCAGAAGAAUUAGAAUGGAAUUGUGAAAGCGGGAUAAAAUUCCAGCGGGACUUGCCCUUCUCUGCACCUUCUCAGUUUGAAAAGUCAAGGUGAAAAUGAAUAAAAAUGGAAGGGAGCAGCAUUUGGCAGGCUUGGAUUCCAAGAGCAGUUCACCCCAUGCAUAGAGGGGUUGCUGCAGCAAAAAUAGCCUUUCAUUUCAGUCUUAUAAGCUACUAGGGAAAGGGUUAAAAAAAAGCCUGUGACAGAUGAAUUUUUAGCAAACCGAUUCAGAGUUAAUUUGUCAGGAAAUA